rnacentral:rRNA from 1 species
GAACUGAAGAGUUUGAUCCUGGCUCAGAUUGAACGCUGGCGGCAUGCUUUACACAUGCAAGUCGAACGGCAGCAUAGGUGCUUGCACCUGAUGGCGAGUGGCGAACGGGUGAGUAAUAUAUCGGAACAUGUCCGGAAGUGGGGGAUAACGUAGCGAAAGUUACGCUAAUACCGCAUAUGCCCUGAGGGGGAAAGGGGGGGAUCGCAAGACCUCUCGCUUUCGGAGUGGCCGAUAUCGGAUUAGCUAGUAGGUGAGGUAAAGGCUCACCUAGGCGACGAUCCGUAGCUGGUCUGAGAGGACGACCAGCCACACUGGGACUGAGACACGGCCCAGACUCCUACGGGAGGCAGCAGUGGGGAAUUUUGGACAAUGGGCGCAAGCCUGAUCCAGCCAUGCCGCGUGAGUGAAGAAGGCCUUCGGGUUGUAAAGCUCUUUCAGCCGGAAAGAAAUUGCACUUAUUAAUACUAAGUGUAGAUGACGGUACCGGAAGAAGAAGCACCGGCUAACUACGUGCCAGCAGCCGCGGUAAUACGUAGGGUGCGAGCGUUAAUCGGAAUUACUGGGCGUAAAGCGUGCGCAGGCGGCUUUUUAAGCCAGAUGUGAAAUCCCCGGGCUUAACCUGG